rnacentral:rRNA from 1 species
UACGUAGGAGGCAAGCGUUGUCCGGAAUUACUGGGCGUAAAGCGCGUGUAGGUGGUGGGACAAGUCUGCUGUGAAAGCGCCUGGCUUAACCGGGCGAGGUCGGCGGAAACUGUUCGACUCGAGGACGGUAGAGGGGGGUGGAAUUCCCGGUGUAGUGGUGAAAUGCGUAGAGAUCGGGAGGAACACCUGUGGCGAAGGCGGCCCCCUGGGCCGGCCCUGACACUGAGACGCGAAGGCGUGGGGAGCGAAUGGG